rnacentral:rRNA from 1 species
CCGGGAGGACCAUCUCCCAAGGCUAAAUACUCCCUAGUGACCGAUAGUGAACCAGUACCGUGAGGGAAAGGUGAAAAGCACCCCGGAAGGGGAGUGAAACAGUUCCUGAAACCGUGUGCCUACAAGUAGUUAGAGCCCGUUAAUGGGUGAUAGCGUGCCUUUUGUAGAAUGAACCGGCGAGUUACGAUUUGUUGCAAGGUUAAGCGGAAAAAGCGGAGCCGUAGCGAAAGCGAGUCUGAAUAGGGCGCAUAAGUAACAGGUCGUAGACCCGAAACCAGGUGAUCUACCCAUGUCCAGGAUGAAGGUAAGGUAAUACUUACUGGAGGUCCGAACCCACGCACGUUGAAAAGUGCGGGGAUGAGGUGUGGGUAGCGGAGAAAUUCCAAUCGAACUUGGAGAUAGCUGGUUCUCUCCGAAAUAGCUUUAGGGCUAGCCUCGAGGUAAAGAGUCAUGGAGGUAGAGCACUGUUUGGACUAGGGGCCCUUCUCGGGUUACCGAAUUCAGAUAAACUCCGAAUGCCAUGUACUUAUACUCGGGAGUCAGACUGCGAGUGAUAAGAUCCGUAGUCGAAAGGGAAACAGCCCAGACCACCAGUUAAGGUCCCCAAAUAUAUGUUAAGUGGAAAAGGAUGUGGGGUUGCUUAGACAACCAGGAUGUUGGCUUAGAAGCAGCCACCAUUGAAAGAGUGCGUAAUAGCUCACUGGUCGAGUGACCCCGCGCCGAAAAUGUACCGGGGCUAAACAUAUUACCGAAACUGUGGAUGAACCUCUUUAGAGGUUCGUGGUAGGAGAGCGUUCUAAGGGCGGUGAAGUCAGACCGGAAGGACUGGUGGAGCGCUUAGAAGUGAGAAUGCCGGUAUGAGUAGCGAAAGAAGGGUGAGAAUCCCUUCCACCGAAUAUCUAAGGUUUCCUGAGGAAGGCUCGUCCGCUCAGGGUUAGUCGGGACCUAAGCCGAGGCCGAUAGGCGUAGGCGAUGGACAACAGGUAGAGAUUCCUGUACCAGUGCUAAUUGUUUAACCGAUGGGGUGACACAGAAGGAUAGGGAAUCGCACGAAUGGAAAUGUGCGUCCAAGCAGUGAGUGUGAGAAGUAGGCAAAUCCGCUUCUCGCGAAGCAUGAGCUGUGAUGGGGAAGGAAAUUAAGUACGGAAGUUCCUGAUUUCACGCUGUCAAGAAAAGCCUCUAGGAAGAGUAGUACUGCCCGUACCGCAAACCGACACAGGUAGAUGAGGAGAGAAUCCUAAGGUGAGCGAGAGAACUCUCGUUAAGGAACUCGGCAAAAUGACCCCGUAACUUCGGGAGAAGGGGUGCUCUAUUAGGGUGCAAGCCCGAGAGAGCCGCAGUGAAUAGGCCCAGGCGACUGUUUAGCAAAAACACAGGUCUCUGCAAAACCGUAAGGUGACGUAUAGGGGCUGACGCCUGCCCGGUGCUGGAAGGUUAAGAGGAGUGCUUAGCUUCGGCGAAGGUACGAAUUGAAGCCCCAGUAAACGGCGGCCGUAACUAUAACGGUCCUAAGGUAGCGAAAUUCCUUGUCGGGUAAGUUCCGACCCGCACGAAAGGCGCAACGAUCUGGGCACUGUCUCAACGAGAGACUCGGUGAAAUUAUAGUACCUGUGAAGAUGCAGGUUACCCGCGACAGGACGGAAAGACCCCGUGGAGCUUUACUGCAACCUGAUAUGGAAUGUUUGUACCGCUUGUACAGGAUAGGUAGGAGCCGAAGAGACGUGUGCGCUAGCAUACGAGGAGGCAAUGGUGGGAUACUACCCUGGCUGUAUGACCAUUCUAACCCGCCACGCUUAGCGCGUGGGGAGACAGUGUCAGGUGGGCAGUUUGACUGGGGCGGUCGCCUCCUAAAGAGUAACGGAGGCGCCCAAAGGUUCCCUCAGAAUGGAUGGAAAUCAUUCGCAGAGUGUAAAGGCACAAGGGAGCUUGACUGCGAGACUGACAAGUCGAGCAGGGACGAAAGUCGGGCUUAGUGAUCCGGUGGUUCCGCAUGGAAGGGCCAUCGCUCAACGGAUAAAAGCUACCCCGGGGAUAACAGGCUUAUCUCCCCCAAGAGUCCACAUCGACGGGGAGGUUUGGCACCUCGAUGUCGGCUCGUCGCAUCCUGGGGCUGUAGUCGGUCCCAAGGGUUGGGCUGUUCGCCCAUUAAAGCGGCACGCGAGCUGGGUUCAGAACGUCGUGAGACAGUUCGGUCCCUAUCCGUCGCGGGCGCAGGAAAUUUGAGAGGAGCUGUCCUUAGUACGAGAGGACCGGGAUGGACACACCGCUGGUGUACCAGUUGUUCCGCCAGGAGCAUCGCUGGGUAGCUAUGUGUGGCAGGGAUAAACGCUGAAAGCAUCUAAGCGUGAAGCCCCCCUCAAGAUGAGAUUUCCCAUUUCUUCGGAAAGUAAGAUCCCUGAAAGAUGAUCAGGUAGAUAGGUUUGGAGUGGAAGUGUAGCGAUACAUGGAGCGGACAAAUACUAAUCGAUCGAGGACUUAACCAAAA